AACCAAAACAAACCAAAUAGUCAACUUGCCGUUGGUUUGGUGUUUAGUCAUAGAAAGCGCGAUGUCAAAGGAGCUACUCAAAGUUGGAGAAGUAGAGAAAUGUGGCACUAAAUAUAUGCUAAAUGCUAAAUUGGCAGAAAAAUGGGAGCAAGUUGAAUUGUAUCGCAAUUAUUUCAUUUGAAUACAAAAAGCGUUAUAAAUUGUUUCGAAGCACACAAUAAUGUGGAAUUUUCAAAGGAGAUUGCCGCUCACAAAAAAUUUAAUGGACAGUUUUCAGUUCAAGUCAACCAUAUGAAUAUGAAAUGAGAAAAUCACCAAAUGUAUGAUAUCGAGUUAAAUAAACGAGCGCGUCUGAAUGCCAUUAAAAUGAAAAAUAGGCUCUGGUGGUGCUAAUGGAAAAUGGUGGCGUCGCAUGUACGUGGAUGACUGGGAUGCGAAGUGAGGAGCCUGUACUACUAUACCCUAUUUUGGCAAUAACUUGUUUGUAUGCGAGAUACACUUAAAAAUAAACCGACUAUGCCCAAUGUAACCGACCUAAAACUUCUCUGUUUAUGAACCGGUUUGAAUGACUCCUAAAGCCAGUCGCCCAGUGGUCACAUUUAAAUUAAGCAAUUUCUAUCAAACUCGGUACAAUAUAUAUUACGCCAAGAAAGACGCGUAA